rnacentral:rRNA from 1 species
UACAGAGGGUGCGAGCGUUGUCCGGAAUCACUGGGCGUAAAGGGCGCGUAGGCGGCCCGGUAAGGUUGCGGUGAAAGCCCGGGGCUCAACCCCGGGUCGGCCGUGGCAGCUGCUGGGCUGGAGCACAGUAGAGGCGGGUGGAAUUCCGGGUGUAGCGGUGGAAUGCGUAGAGAUCCGGAAGAACACCGGUGGCGAAGGCGGCCCGCUGGGCUGUUGCUGACGCUGAGGCGCGACAGCGUGGGGAGCAAACAGG